GAUGAACGCUAGCGGCAGGCUUAACACAUGCAAGUCGAGGGGGUAACAGGGUAGCGAUACCGCUGACGACCGGCAAACGGGUGCGGAACACGUACGCAAUCUACCGUUGUCUGGGGUAUAGCCCGGAGAAAUCCGGGAUUAAUCCCCCAUAAGAUAUUGGAGUGGCAUCACUCAGAUAUUAAAACUCAGGUGGACAAUGAUGAGCGUGCGUCCCAUUAGCUAGNGGUAGGGUAACGGCCUACCAAGGCGACGAUGGGUAGCUGGUGUGAGAGCACGGACCAGCCACACGGGCACUGAGACACGGGCCCGACUCCUACGGGAGCAGCAGUGAGGAAUAUUGGUCAAUGGACNCAAGUCUGAACCAGCCAUGCCG
rnacentral:rRNA from 1 species